UCUCAGGACCACGAAGGGAGCCAGCCUGGGGGGAAGCCAACAAAUAGAAUUUGGCAGUCAGAUCAACAUUCUUGGAUGGUUUCUCUUUUCUCUCAGCGCUGCUUGACAAGCUGGAGAACAGUCGAGGAGAGGAAUGAGUAUUUCUGACUUUUGGAAAUAGAUCGAUGCUCUAUAAGAUUUGGGCGCUGGGAUUUCUUAGAAGAAUCUGUUUGGUGCCAAUGAGGAAUUCAGAGCUGUGCUACGAUCAAUUUAGAGGACAAUGAAAGAAGCAUAAAUGAGAGAGUGAGCCAGUAGCCUGAAUGGGGGGAGGAAAACACGAUUUUACUUGCAUCUCAUUCAUUUUAAUUUCUCUAUUAAGUAAGGGGAAACGAAUGGGAAGAUGGCGGAGGGAGUCAUGUAAGGCAGCAUGGUUCCCAAGGGCUGGGAAGGCUCCUUCCACACAAGGACAUAGUCUCCUCUGGCUUUUGCAUGAUUAAUAUCCCACAGCCAGAGACACUGUUGCUUUAAGCCAUCAUGGCUUAAGACUGUGUUGUGCAUUAAAAUGUAACACCUCUGGGAGAAUGAACAUUUGACUGCUAGCUUUAUUUUACCCCUUUCUUUCUAAGUAUUCUUUAUUACAGAAAGCAAGUAAGAAGGAAAAGGAGGACAACUGAUGAUAAAGUGGAGAGAAAAGAAUGCUUUCACCAAAAUGGAUCUGUCUCAAAGGCCACAUAUGCCCAAUGGAUAGUUUUAUGAAUAUAUAGAGGAUCUGUUUCCAGGCUGGGCUGGACCCCACUGCAGGGGAUUCGAUUCAAGAAGGUGCACCAAGCAUGGCUGCAGCCAAGUAAAUAA
rnacentral:lncRNA from 1 species